AGGACAAACGCUGGCGGGGUGCAUGAGACAUGCAAGUCGAACGAGGUGCCAUCGGGCUUGCUCGAUGGUUACCUAGUGGCGGACGGCUGAGUAACGCGUAGGUGACCUACCCGGAGGUGGGGAAUAACUGCCCGAAAGGGUGGCUAAUACCGCAUGUGGUCGGCGAUUCGAUUCGCCGUCUAAAGGAGCAAUUCGCUUCCGGAGGGGCCUGCGUCCGAUUAGCUAGUUGGUGAGGUAACGGCUCACCAAGGCGACGAUCGGUAGCUGGUCUGAGAGGAUGAUCAGCCAGACUGGGACUGAGAACGGCCCAGACUCCUACGGGAGGCAGCAGUCGGGAAUUUUGCCCAAUGGACGAAAGUCUGAGGCAGCAACUCCGCGUGAGGGAUGAAGGCUCUCGGGUCGUAAACCUCUUUCUCAGGGAAGAUCCAAGACGGUACCUGAGGAAUAAGCGACGGCUAACUACGUGCCAGCAGCCGC
rnacentral:rRNA from 1 species